CGUGGUGUAUGAGCUAACUUGCGAGUCUGUCGAGCCCCCGUUGAAGAGCUGCUGAUCGGAGUGGAGAAGCCCCUCCUUGUUCACCAAAUUAUUGUAGUAGAAGUUGUCGAAGAUCGUCGGGGUCGAAGUGUCGAGUGGUGCGAGGUUGUUGUCACCACCAGAGAACGGGCAAUUGGCUUGUAAUGCUGUCGCGAAGGACGAGUCUAUGUUGGUCUCGUUGUAGAUCCGAGUUCGGAAGUUGGUGCACCGCGCAUCACCUAUUGUGUGGGCUCCUGCAGGGUCAAAAGGUGCAAUGUAAACAUUAAAUUAUGAAAUUUUCGUACUCCGAUAACUGAUGGUGCAUGAACAGGCAUACGAAAUAAUUGAAUAUUUUCAAACUGUAAUUAGCCAUAUGAACACUACUAUUUUUUUUGAUGAUUUUUUUUUGCAAUAAAUGCUAGAAUAUUCUGUUUAGUUUUUGACAAAAACUACUGAAAAAGUCCAAACUAAAUUUGGUAAAAUUUUUAUAAAUUAAAUAAUAUGUUUGUCGAGGAUUUUGUGUCAAAAAACUAAAAUUUGUGAAACCUUUUUGUUCUUGACCUAUAAAAAAUUAGGUUGAAAAUUACAACUAUCGGUACCUGAGAGAGCAACCAUAUCGCUAGUACUCAGGCCCUUCUUCGCAAAGGCUGAGAUAAGAUCGUUGAGGUUGGAGAAUGGAGACGGCAAGUCGGAGUUAGCGGUGCUUAAACUCGCCGUCGUCGAAUCCCUCCUUCCUAGCAAUACCGUCCACGCCGGACCGCCCAGCUGAGAAAAAAAUCAAAACCAACGGUUCGCAUGACAAAGUACGAGACAGAAAGGGAGAGAUAGAGAUAUGUAAAGAUAUAAAGAGCUGCAUAUGUAUAUAUUGUAGUACCGCAACAACUGAAUCGCGAGCGACGACGGCGAGGAUGUCCGCGCACGACACCGUUUGCGGGCACACGAUCUCAAGUUGAGCUUUGAUUCUAUCAACCACAUCGAAUCCUCGCAAGGAUCCCCUGUUCGGAAUGGCCGACUUCUCUCCGGUGAAGGUCGGAGUGUCAUCUAAAAGAACAGAUCCGUCGCAUCCCUGCCGCGAGAUUCAUGCGAUAAAAAUUAAUGACAUGUACCGUAUAUAAUUAAUCAAACUAUAUGCAUUAGAGAAACUUAUUAAUAUUCUGAACUAACAACAAUAUUAGGAUACUUAAAUAAGUAAUUAGUUAAGUUGACGGUGAUUAAUAGUUAUUUCAUUGGCAAGUAAAUUUGCUUCAUUUUGGUUUAUAAUUUUGAUGCAGUAGCGGUGGAUGAAAGGUCUCAAUCGAUCUUUUCAUUAGGGGCGCAUUUGGUUCGCCCUAUAAAAGAUUAUUAAGAAUAAAAAGAUGUUCGAGAAUUUUAUUUCUAUUCAUUCUAUUACUAAGAAUGUUAGAGUAUAUCCCCGUUUAAUCAAAAAAAAGAAUGUGACAUUUUUAUGUUUGUUUCAUAUAGUCAUAUUAUUUAGUCAUAUUAUUUAAAAUUACAAAAAAUAACUAAUUAAUUAAUUUAAUUAAUUUUAGAUAAUACUAUAAAAAAUUUCAAUAUCUUUUUAGAAAAAAGAAAGAGAGAAUAUAAGUUAGAGAGAGAGCAUAAUUAAAGAAGUAGAAAGAAAAAUAGAAUCGAGAUUAGAGAGAAUGAGAGAAUUGAGAUUUAGGAAAAGAAUAGGAGAAAGAGCUUUGUUUAGAGAGAGAAAAAGAUAAGUUUAGAAAAAGAUAUGAGAUUAGAGUGUAAAGAAAAAUAAUACCAACUAGUCAGCGAGUAGGGAAAAGAAAAAAAAUAGACAUAUUAUAAUUAGCCCAAUCCAUUAAUUUGAGAAUAUCCAUCAUCCUUUAAAGAAAUGAGAUUAGUACUUUGGGAUGAGUCUCAUUUCCAAUUAAAUUUAAUAUUAUCAACUAAACUACUUAGUAUGUUUAGUCAAAUACGUCAUAUUUUUUUUUUUUUUUAUUGAAUUAUUAAGAAUUUUAAAAAAAUAGCGCGAAUCAAACGCGCCCUAAAAGCUAUCUCUAUUAUUGUACUUUAUAAUCAGCCAAAAACCAUGUGGAGCACACAGAGUCAGGAUGAUACGAUGUGAGGAACUGGAAAUAUAAAAUUUUGGAAAACUUGGUCUAUCUCGUAAUAAUAUAUUAAUACUAACUUUACAAGACUACUUUUAUAAAUUGGCUGUUUGGCCCAGCUUGACUUUUCACAAACUUAUUGUUUUCCCGUUUGAGUAGAUGAAAAUUGUAGUUCGAAACUAUGUUUUUGCUUUUUAGGAUUCAAAAAUUCGAUUCAGCACACCACCAAAACUAAAAAGUUGGAUUUUUAAUUUGUUGGCGUGUAUUUGACUCUCAUUUGCAAGACAAAAGAAACGAUUUUGAAAGCCAAGACAAAUAGUCGCAAACUUCAUAUGUAUAUAUAUGCGAAUGAUCGAAGGGAAGGGAGUGGAGCAAGAACUUGCUUGAACAAAGCAGUCGUGGAAGUGGAGUCGGAGCAGCGACGCCCCAAUGCGACUGUCUGUAGCCAAUGCACGUAUGACCUCCGUCCAGAUGGUAGGCAGAGCUGAGGGGCAUGAAAAGCGGUAGAAAGUCGACGACAGUUGAGCUGAAGCUACUGAAGUUAAAAUGAAGAAGAAGCAGCAGCAGCAGCAGCUUAAAGCAGAAGCACGAGGAGCCAUUGCUAGAAAAGGACCGUGCUAGGAUUCCUAGGUGGCUAGAUCAACUAUAUAGAGGAUAAGUGCUCAAUACACGUGUAUUUAUAGCCAUUAUUUGCCCCAUUAAUUGUCAAACUUCUACAAGAUUUAUCCUACAUUAUUAAGACCACUUAACUGGAUUUUUCUGUUUUUUAUUUUUGUUUUUGUUUUUUUUAAAUAUCACUUGUAUAGCUGGAUGAAUAUUAGUGCAUUUAUAAUGAUCAAUAUAUCCACACAACCCACAACCAACUAGUGUGGGUCGCAAUCGAUCGAAUCGCAUAGCCACUUAAUUUUUUUGCGAAUAGGUAGUACGCUACCUGCUUCAUUCAUUGAACAUAUGAAUUAGACUACAGAGUUGAAGCAACCAGGGCCUCUACAAAAAAAAAAAAAAAAAAAAAAUCAAAAGACGUCUUUUCAAGAGUCAGUCAGCCGUUUGAGCCUUCGCACCGCUAAUACGGGAUCAAAUUGAACGCCACGAAAGAUAAGGUUGUUUCUGGUAUAGCCACUUAAUUAAAUGCAUGAAAAGUGAUCAAACAAAGUGGUCUUGGUACAUGGCGUACACGUCGAUCGAUCCAAUAUAUGUUUCUCCAAAGAAAAGAAAAGAAAACAAAAUUCAUUUUGAGCUCAAAUAAUAGAGUUGUUGCUUAUAUUUAAAUAUCUUUUUUUUUUUACGUCUUAUGAAUAAAAUUUUUCUUUCAUUAACGAAAAAUAUAUCAUACACUAGGAAAAAAAAAAUUAUUAUAUAUAAGAACAAUUAUUUUACGACACCAGAAGAAAGUGUCUUCAAAUAUCCUCACUACAUAGCAAACAUUGACGUUUUAAAAGUAUCGAUAUAUAAAUCAUCAAAAUUAUUCGGAUUUGAAAAAAUCUUGAUAUUUUAAAACGUCGGAAUAUAUCACUUUGACACAUGAUAAAUUGGUAUAUAUAUCACGAUUCACGACUCUUCAUUUAUCAAUAUUUUUACCGCCUCUUUAUAAUAUAUUAACAGUAGCUAGACUAACUUGAGAUCGAUAUUUUUAAGUAUCAUUAAUUACAGGAAAAAAAAUUUUGUUAACUAUUAUUUUCCUUGCAUGGUCCACGUGCUCGACCCAUUGUAGCCACGCACCCAUUUUGAAAGAGCAUUUUAUAUUGAUGAAAAAUUUUAAAAUCCUCUAAUCAUUAUUAUUAUAUAUUUUACUUAAUUAUUUAAUUUAUUAUUUAUUAUUAUAAUAUUUUAAUUUAUUAUUUUUUGUUAUUAUUUUAAUUAUGUAUUUAUUUAAUAUCCGUUAAUUGCACGUGGGCGAAGAUCACGCCUCGUGCGCGCCCGUUCCACACCAACGUGCGCGCCCGUUCCACACGAACGUGCGCCGUUUGCGCACUACUCCGGACAUUCCUCACAGAACGUGGGAGCAAUGUUAAAUGUAUAUGGGGUGAACAACUGGAUUUCAACUUUUCAAUGGCCGACUCCUUUGUCACCGCCAGCGAAUUACUCAACUGGUGCAUCAAAUGGAAUAUGGAAUGCGUGAGCAUAAAGGUAGAUUUCGAAAAAGCCUUUGAUAACGUCAAUUGGGCAUUCCUAAAAAAUAUAAUGCACUGGCUUGGAUUCAGCGACAAAUGGUGGGGCUGGAUUGAACAAUGUAUCAACAACGCCAAAAUAGCAAUACUCGUGAAUGAUAUUCCGACAAAGUGGCUCAAGACAAGGAAGGGACUUAGACAGGGUGACCCUCUAUCUCUUUACCUCUUCAUACUUGUGGCCGACUGCCUGGCCAGGAUAACUCAAGCCGCCGCGGAUAAUAACAUGUUACACGGAAUCGGCCCUAACGAAGACUGCAAAACGACGUUCCUUCAAUACGCAGAUGACACAAUCUUUUUUUGCCAUCCGCGGAAACGAUACAUGCGAAACCUCAUUUUCGUUUGGAAAAUCUUCGAGUGGGCUUCCGGUUUACGAAUCAAUAAGAGCAAAACGGAGUUAUUUUACCUUGGCGCCAACCCAACCAAGAGCGACAGACUAGCUGAUAUCCUGCAUUGCCAGGUAGGCAAACUACCUUUUCGAUAUUUGGGACUGCCUCUCCACAAUAAGCCCCUUCGUAAGGAAGACUGGUCAAUCGUCAUCAAUCGCAUAGGAUCGCGGAUCGAAGGAUGGAAAGCUAAAAUACUAUCUCAAGGAGGAAGGCUUAUUCUUAUUAACUCUGUACUAACCAACCUACCGCUUUUCUACCUUUCUAUUUUCAAGGCUCCACGGUGGGUGCUACUUAGAAUCGAAGCCUUACGAAGAGCCUUCUUCUGGAAAGGCUGCUCCAAAAUUGCUGGGGGAGCCUGCCUCGUCAAUUGGAAAACCAUUUGUAAGAGCAAGGCUCAAGGAGGACUGGGAAUAAAAGACGUGGAUUCAAUGAAUUUAGCUCUCUUUUCUAAAUGGUGGUGGCGUUUUCUGACUGAGCCACACCUGCCUUGGUGUAACCUCAUUAAACAUCUUUACUACUCGAGAAGAAGACCACUGCACGAGGGAAAUGCCUUUGUACCCUUCUCGCAGUGGUGGAGAUCUAGGAACGAUCCGGUGUCGAGAAGCGUUUAAAUAUGGCAUUUCAUAUGGCAUGGGCGAUGGAAGCAUCAUCAGGCUAUGGAAGGACAUCUGGAUCGGGGAAACACCGCUAAGCACAGAAUUCCCAGAUAUUUUCUUGGCUAUCAAGAACAAGAAUGUUCGGAUUUCCCAAUGCUGGAAUCAACUCGGCUGGAGAUGGCGUUUCAUCUGCAGAGGAUUCUUAGCCUCAGCCUCCUCGGGAAAUAGAAGACGGUUAGCACUCCUAAAGGAACGUCUACUUCAAUUCUCCCUAAGCACAAGACAGAACGUCUACUUCAAUUCUCCCUAAGCACAAGACCGGACUCACUUAAAUGGAGAUGGACCUCUCACGGCAAAUUCACUGUUAACUCCUUGUACAAAUUUAUCACUUUCGCCGGACAAAGUGAGCCGCUCAAUCAACACCUGUGGAAACUUAAGAUCCCGGUUAAAAUCAAAACCUUCGUCUGGUUGCUCCUACGCAAGAGGCUGCUUACAGCUGACAGAUUGAUUAGGCGAGGAGCCCAAUUGGACCCUUCCUGCGUCUUUUGUGCUGUUUCCCUGGAAUGUGCCGACCACCUCUUCUGCAACUGUGUCUUCGCCCGUUUUCUUCUUCGACGACUGGCGGGGGCACACAACUUGGCUCCGGGUGGGGACGUACGAGGACUUUGGAAUCUAAUUUCACAGACCCCCGACGCCUCUUUAAGAUCUAAAUGUCUAACCAAGCUAGCGGCCACUUGGUAGGUUCUCUGGACUGAGCGAAACAACUUUGUCUUUCGUUCAAGCCUCUCCAACGUCGAGAGAGCUUCGGACAGAGUUUCAACCCUGCUUAGUGACUGGAGCUUACUCAUGUAACCCAUUCCCUCUUCCCCACUUUCUUUUUUUAUUACUUCUUCCUUCUUUCUUUCGCCACUUUUGUUUUGUUUCUCUGUUUUCCGGGUUCGGUUUUUUGCCAAGGAAGCCUAAGCUGCUUCCACCUUGUAAGCUUAGUUCACUUAUCCUAUUGAAUGAAGCAGGUAGUGUGCUACCUUUCUCUCAAAAAAAAAAUAANNNNNNNNNNNNNNNNNNNNNNNNNNNNNNNNNNNNNNNNNNNNNNNNNNNNNNNNNNNNNNNNNNNNNNNNNNNNNNNNNNNNNNNNNNNNNNNNNNNNNNNNNNNNNNNNNNNNNNNNNNNNNNNNNNNNNNNNNNNNNNNNNNNNNNNNNNNNNNNNNNNNNNNNNNNNNNNNNNNNNNNNNNNNNNNNNNNNNNNNNNNNNNNNNNNNNNNNNNNNNNNNNNNNNNNNNNNNNNNNNNNNNNNNNNNNNNNNNNNNNNNNNNNNNNNNNNNNNNNNNNNNNNNNNNNNNNNNNNNNNNNNNNNNNNNNNNNNNNNNNNNNNNNNNNNNNNNNNNNNNNNNNNNNNNNNNNNNNNNNGGCAGUGUUCGUACACUUCCGGAUCAAAUCGUUUGACUUUUUUCUUCUAUAAUCUAUUUUGAAUUUUAGCGCUCUCCUGUAAGUUCAUUUAUUAAUUUUUAUCACAAAAUUUAGUUAGAUAAUUAAUCAAUCAGAUUUUCAAUGCGGUUUUUCUAGCUAACAAUCUAAGGCAUAUGUCCAAUUUGAUUAUAAUUAAAAUCUAACGAAUGCUAAUCCGAAAAAAAAAAUUUGUGCAUAUUGUAUUUGAUAACUUGUUUGUAUAUAUAAUUGACAUGUAAGUAUUAAUUCACUACAUAUAAAUAGUCUUUUGCAUAAUAAGUUAUGACUUAUGAGUAUUAAUUAAGAGCCAUAUUUAUUCGACUAUUAAUAAAUUGGCGCCCAGCUAGGAUUUAUGAUUUUAAGUAUUAAAUAAGUCUAAAAAUCCAGAGUAUAAAAAAGAUCAUUGCAUGAUCAAUUAAAAAUUAAUGUAAACAAUUUAUAAUUUUUUUUUAAUGUUAGAAACACGUUUGAUAUGUUAGUAUCUGAUUCUCGGGCCCAACAUAAUAAGACUUCAUGAGUGUGAUGUAUAUAUAAGAUAUUGCGUGCCCCCACAAUAAUUUUUCUAGCUCCUCCCGUUCACAUGGGAAAAAUUAUUAUAUUCAAAAUUGAUCUUUUAUUCAUGUUAACUAAAUAUAUCCAUUAGUAUAUAGGCGAUGAUAUAAGUGAUUAGAAUCAUGAGCCUACGACAUUAAUUCAACAGUUAAAAAUGGUCAAUUUUGAGUUAAUUUGAUAGGAGACUAAUUAGAUUGAUGUAGAUAUUUGUAAUGUAGAUUGACUAUUUAAGCAGCAUAUAGCAAUAAAAAUAUUAUUUACUUUACCUCUCAACCUUUACUUUAUGCCAUAAAUAGAAAAAGAAUAUGAAUGGGAAAAAGGAAAACUAGCAUAUAUUCACUGUUUAGGCAAAAGGAGUAAAUAAUUGGGAUACCAUUUGGUUCGUUGAUUAAAAACAUGCAUGGGCAAUUUUGAAGUCUAAAAAAAACAAGAAUGGUACAAAUAAAAAGCUGUUCUAAUAGCUAAAUACAUCAUCAUUUUUUCCUUUCAUUUUAUUGCUGGAUUGAUUGAUUUGAAUACAUUUGUUUUGAUUCUAGUAUAAUAAAGCGACAUCAUAUACGAAUCUUGUGAAAACAAGCCAAAACAAACUACAUGUUUAAACAAUGGGAAAAGAAAAUUUUGUAACACUUAGAUUAACCACGCAAACCGAUAGUUUAUCGUAUCUUUAAUUAAUUGAUCUUCCUACAGUUGGUUCUGAUCUCUCCACUGCUUCCUGUUAAGGGACUGAUGUUCCCCAUCUUCACAAUCGCUGUCGCAAAAUCGCGAAAGAAUUGCGCAGAAUUCGUGGUGUAUGAGCUAACUUGCGAGUCUGUCGAGCCCCCGUUGAAGAGCUGCUGAUCGGAGUGGAGAAGCCCCUCCUUGUUCACCAAAUUAUUGUAGUAGAAGUUGUCGAAGAUCGUCGGGGUCGAAGUGUCGAGUGGUGCGAGGUUGUUGUCACCACCGGAGAACGGGCAAUUGGCUUGUAAUGCUGUCGCGAAGGACGAGUCUAUGUUGGUCUCGUUGUAGAUCCGAGUUCGGAAGUUGGUGCACCGCGCAUCACCUAUUGUGUGGGCUCCUGCAGGGUCAAAAGGUGCAAUGUAAACAUUAAAUUAUGAAAUUUCCGUACUCCGAUAACUGAUGGUGCAUGAACACGCAUACGAAAUAAUUGAAUAUUUUCCUACUGUAAUUAAUCAUAUGAAAACUAUUUUUUUUGAUGAUUUUUUUUUGCAAUAGACGCUAGAAUAGUCUGUUUAGUUUUUGAAAAAACUACUUAAAAAGUCCAAACUAAAUUUGGUAAAAUUUUUGUAAAUCAAAUAAUUUGUUUGUCGAGUGUUCGUGUCAAAAAAACUAAAAUUUGUGAAACCUUUUUCUCUUGACCUAUAAAAAUUUAGGUUGAAAAUUUCAACUAUC
rnacentral:lncRNA from 1 species